rnacentral:rRNA from 1 species
UACGUAGGGGGGCAAGCGUUGUCCGGAUUUAUUGGGCGUAAAGGCGCGUGUAGGCGGGCUCGAUAAGUCUGCUGUGAAAGUCCAGGGCUCAACCCUGGAAUGCCGGUGGAAACUGUUGAGCUUGAGUCCGGAAGAGGCGAGUGGAAUUCCUGGUGUAGCGGUGAAAUGCGCAGAUAUCAGGAGGAACACCAAUGGCGAAGGCAGCUCGCUGGGACGGUACUGACGCUGAGACGCGAAGCGUGGGGAGCAAACAGG